CUUUGACCAUUUAUCUAUUGAGAAAUAGUCUUAAAAUAUUUAUUAAUCAUUGAUAUAUCUUGGAUACCAAACCACUAUCAGAGAAAUCUAAUACAAAGAUUUUCUACCAUUUUACCACUUUUCUUCUUAUCCUAGGUGUAUUGAUUUUAUUUCAUGUAAUCAACCUUAUCUAUUUUUCUUUUAUAAUUAGCUCUAUCUAUCUCAUUUGGUUAAGAAUGCAUCUACCCGGACUUCCGUUCCAGAUGGUGGCUUAGAAACAGCAAAAAUUCAGACCUCUAAAAAUCCUUCCUUACUGAUCACAAACUGAAUGCUCCUAGGGAACCGAAAUUCAAACUGAACAACAGGACAGAGCGGGGGAACCCUCCUCCUGGACUCGGAUCAAAAGACGCUUCUUAGGAGCCAAAAGCCUGGUCACGAUUUUCCUGCAGUCUAGAAUCUGAAGAAUUCCUGAAGAAGACACCUCGAGGAGAAAUCCAAAGAAGCCCCCAAAAUAUUGGAUCCGGAUAAGUAUUGUUUCUCAUCAUUUUCAUUGACUUAGAAAUAUUUCUGUAGAAGAAAAAAAAACUGGCCAUUUUAUUUCCCCUGAACAUUUUAUUUACCCUGAGCAAAGUCCCUUUAAAUAGAGAACCUAGAAAGGACAGAGCUAUUCCUCAAAUUUAGUUGAAGUAUGAAAGUAGGAGCAUUUUACCUGGUUAAGAGGUUUGAACGUAACAUCUGUUAAUUUGAGAAUUUGCAGCAAAGAUUCCAGAGUGUUAGUUUAUCUCAAAGUAGUAUCAGAAGAAGUUAGAGUAGAAUGAUGGAGCCUAGAAAUAAUUGUUAGUGAUAGUGAAGUGGGAUACUUCACAGAUGAGUUUAAACAUCUAGAAUAUUGAUUAUUGGAACCAUCAUUUAUUAAUAAAAGAGAGAAAUAAAGAAUCUACCAGCUGGAACAGAAUUCCCUAAUGGAAUACUGCGCAGGUUCGACAUUAGGGAACAGGUUAUAUAGGUUUCCCAGAUAUAAGUUACACAUACAGGUUCUUAUCUGACAAUAAACAGACCUUAAUGGAGGAAUUUUAUGUUGGAGACAGAAGUCCAUCCCCGGGGGUUGUGCAGUUCCCUGACUCUUUGAUAAUCCUGAAAUUCCUCCUUGUCUCCUGCCAGAUUGUUAUCUACAUAAACAGUUUUGUUAUGGGCAGGAAGGAUAACCUUGGGGGUUUGGGAAGGAUGCCUUUUGCAAGCAUGCAAUGACUCCAAAACUUACCUUAAAAACAAAAAUAGAUUUAUUAAUUUAGAAAGUAAUGUUGAGAGUGGCCAGGAGGAUAGCAAGGUAGAACAGCAAGAUGGGGAGCAGUUCCUUGGGAGGACAGCAUGAAUGGAAAGGCUGUUCCUCCGUGGGGACAGCAUGGAUAGAGAGGCUGUCCCCCCGACGACAUCAGUUCUGGAGAUUUUAUACAUUUUUUUCAAGAGAGUUACUCACUCAGGCAUGAAGUGGGCUGAUCAUACUGGGGUCUGCCUGGGGACAUAAAGAUUCCUUAGUUUUAGGGGACAAACAGAUAUCUGAUAGGAUCAAGGUGUGGCUUGAAGGUGCAUCUUUCUGUCCAUCUAGAGGACGAUCAAAGGAAGAUAGUCAUCUCAGGACCCUAGAGGGGUCAUUGGGUGUUUUUAGGCUCAGAGUUAGGAAAAACAAGGGAGUUCCCCUGAUAAUAGUUUGCCUGGGUUUCUGGGGUACAGUGCCCAUGUCAUCUCCCCCCUCUCCUAAUAUGUAAGGGAAAAAGGGACGGCAGUCUGUCUUCUGUAACUUCUUCACCGCCGAGAAUAAGCAUAGAGAUGCCCCCGCCUACCCCUUAGGAGAGAGAGAGGUAUUGACUGUAGGCCAUGUCCAGAGUGUCAGGCUGGGAUGGUUGCCGAGGUUAUGGUGGUAUCUGGCAUCUGGGUGACUUCCAUGAGUGCUUUUACCCUAGAAGCAAUUAGAGUGAUAACAAGGUCACAAAUACAAGGUCCACAUAUCCCACCACAGGGGAAUAGCAAAAACUGGAGUGGUUGCUAAUCUCCUUAAAGCCUCAGGUCUUGGAUACACCUUAGAGGCACUGAGAUCUUGGGCUAGAGGCCUGGGGUUCUCUCCACUUUGGGGGUGCUUCAUACAGACCCAACCCCAAAGAGGGACCCACUUUGGCUUACUGCUUCCCCAAGCUGAGUCAGAGAAUUAUAUGUCCAGCUGGCUGGGUACACAUGAUUUAAAACAUAGGAGACCCAAAAUUUAAGGAAAGAAAUGGUUAUAGCCAGGUAGUUAAAGGCUAAAGUAAAAGGAGUUAAGAUAGCAGGGACAGAAAGGCUGUGGGCACAGGGUCUUAGGGACAUGUCCUCAGUGAAUGCCUGGGUCCUAGGUAGCUGGGAAUCUGCUUGGAGAUUUGAAAGAUGUCUAGCGACUGCUUCCCCUGAUCGGCAGAUAGGUAACAAGGGGAGUUUCAGUCCCUAAGCUAGAAGUAUAGAAAACCAGGACUGGGGGGAUAGAAACAAAGAAAAUUACUACAAUAACAAUUGGCAUUACACAUUUGCAUUUGGGUAUCUUAGCCAACAGACUUCUUCAGAAAUCAUCUUCUGACAAGAAUAGAUCCCUUUAGGAAAUCAGAUUCCUGAGUUGUUUACAGAGCUGCAAGGAAGCGGUCUGAUACCAAAGGAGGAGUCUGCCAGAGGACAGAAGUCUGACAGAGGAGGCUGAAGGCAUCAUCAGGACCCACCAGAUGUGAAAGACUUAAGACUUUGGGAAACGGGGUAGUGUUUUG